rnacentral:rRNA from 1 species
GACGAACGCUGGCGGCGUGCUUAACACAUGCAAGUCGAACGGAAAGGCCCCUUUGGGGGUCCUCAAGUGGCGAACGGGUGAGUAACACGUGAGUAACCUGCCCUUGACUUCGGGAUAACUUCAGGAAACUGGGGCUAAUACCGGAUAGGAAUCCUUGCUGCAUGGUGGGGGUUGGAAAGCUUCGGCGGUUUUGGAUGGACUCGCGGCUUAUCAGCUUGUUGGUGGGGUAGUGGCUUACCAAGGCUUUGACGGGUAGCCGGCCUGAGAGGGCGACCGGCCACAUUGGGACUGAGAUACGGCCCAGACUCCUACGGGAGGCAGCAGUGGGGAAUAUUGCACAAUGGGCGGAAGCCUGAUGCAGCAACGCCGCGUGCGGGAUGACGGCCUUCGGGUUGUAAACCGCUUUCAGCAGGGGCGAAGCUUGUGGUGACGGUACCUGCAGAAGAAGCACCGGCUAACUACGUG